CCUACGGGCGGCAGCAGUAGGGAAUUUUGCGCAAUGGGCGAAAGCCUGACGCAGCAACGCCGCGUGAUCGAGACGCCCUUCGGGGUGUAAACCUCUUUUGUCAGGGAGCAACGCCGGCUACGUGUAGCCGGACUGAGAGUACCUGAAGAAAAAGCAUCGGCUAACUCCGUGCCAGCAGCCGCGGUAAUACGGAGGAUGCGAGCGUUAUCCGGAUUUAUUGGGUUUAAAGGGUGCGUAGGCGGAAUGCCAAGUCAGCGGUAAAAUCGCGGGGCUCAACCUCGCUCCGCCGUUGAAACUGGCGUUCUUGAGUGGGCGAGAAGUAUGCGGAAUGCGUGGUGUAGCGGUGAAAUGCAUAGAUAUCACGCAGAACUCCGAUUGCGAAGGCAGCAUACCGGCGCCCAACUGACGCUGAAGCACGAAAGCGUGGGUAUCGAACAGGAUUAGAUACCCUUGUAGUC
rnacentral:rRNA from 1 species